rnacentral:rRNA from 1 species
GACGAACGCUGGCGGCGUGCUUAACACAUGCAAGUCGAACGGAAAGGCCCUGCUUUUGUGGGGUGCUCGAGUGGCGAACGGGUGAGUAACACGUGAGUAACCUGCCCUUGACUUUGGGAUAACUUCAGGAAACUGGGGCUAAUACCGGAUAGGAGCUCUUGCUGCAUGGUGGGGGUUGGAAAGUUUCGGCGGUUGGGGAUGGACUCGCGGCUUAUCAGCUUGUUGGUGGGGUAGUGGCUUACCAAGGCUUUGACGGGUAGCCGGCACGGGAGGGUGACCGGCCACCUGGCGACUGAGAUACGCCCCAGACUCCAACGGGAGGCAGCAGUGGGGAGUAUUGCACAAUAAGCGGACGCCAGAUGCAGAGACGCCGCGUGCGGAAAGACGGCCUUCGGGUUGUAAACCAAUUUCGCCUGUGCCGUAGCGUGAGUGACGGUAAUGGGUAAAGAAGCCCCGGCUAACUACGUG